AUUGAACGCUGGCGGCAUGCCUUACACAUGCAAGUCGAACGGUAACAGGUCUUCGGAUGCUGACGAGUGGCGAACGGGUGAGUAAUACAUCGGAACGUGCCCGAUCGUGGGGGAUAGCGAAGCGAAAGCUUUGCUAAUACCGCGUAAGAUCUACGGAUGAAAGCAGGGGACCGCAAGGCCUUGCGCGAACGGAGCGGCCGAUGGCAGAUUAGGUAGUUGGUGGGAUAAAAGCUUACCAAGCCGACGAUCUGUAGCUGGUCUGAGAGGACGACCAGCCACACUGGGACUGAGACACGGCCCAGACUCCUACGGGAGGCAGCAGUGGGGAAUUUUGGACAAUGGGCGAAAGCCUGAUCCAGCCAUGCCGCGUGCAGGAUGAAGGCCUUCGGGUUGUAAACUGCUUUUGUACGGAACGAAAAGACUCUUUCUAAUAAAGAGGGUCCAUGACGGUACCGUAAGAAUAAGCACCGGCUAACUACGUGCCAGCCGCCGCGGUAAAAC
rnacentral:rRNA from 1 species